rnacentral:rRNA from 1 species
AACGAACGCUGGCGGCAGGCCUAACACAUGCAAGUCGAACGCCCGUAGCAAUACGGGAGUGGCAGACGGGUGAGUAACGCGUGGGAACGUGCCCUUCGGUUCGGAAUAACUCAGGGAAACUUGAGCUAAUACCGGAUACGUCCGUAAGGAGAAAGAUUUAUCGCCGAAGGAUCGGCCCGCGUCGGAUUAGCUAGUUGGUGAGGUAACGGCCCACCAAGGCGACGAUCCGUAGCUGGUCUGAGAGGANGAUCAGCCACACUGGGACUGAGACACGGCCCAGACUCCUACGGGAGGCAGCAGUGGGGAAUAUUGGACAAUGGGCGAAAGCCUGAUCCAGCCAUGCCGCGUGAGUGAAGAAGGCCUUAGGGUUGUAAAGCUCUUUCAGCGGGAAGAUAAUGACGGUACCCGCAGAAGAAGCCCCGGCUAACUUCGUGACAGCAGCCGCCGCGGUAAC